UACGUAGGGUGCGAGCGUUGUCCGGAAUUACUGGGCGUAAAGAGCUCGUAGGUGGUUUGUCGCGUUGUUCGUGAAAACUCACAGCUUAACUGUGGGCGUGCGGGCGAUACGGGGCAGACUGGAGUACUGCAGGGGAGACUGGAAUUCCUGGUGUAGCGGUGGAAUGCGCAGAUAUCAGGAGGAACACCGGUGGCGAAGGCGGGUCUCUGGACAGU
rnacentral:rRNA from 1 species